AAAUCUUCUUAUACUGCAGGAUCACAGCAGUACUAGUACAGUACUAACAGGAUAUCAGAGAUCACGAGACAGCAAUCAAUGAACCACACAAAUGUCGUGGAUCUCUGUAUCUGAUACAGCAUCUUCUCAGAGGUCGAACGCCCAUUCGACCAAAGUGCGGAUCAUAAUGGGAAGGCAAGUACAUGAACAGGCCAAGAUGGGGUAUUUACUGAAGCAUUAUUAUUUCUCUUCCACUUCCUCGGUUAUAUUUUAAAUGCAACUAUAAAUUUUCGUGUCUAACUUUGAUCGUUCGUCUUAUUUAAAAAUUUGUUAUAAUUAGUAUUUUUGUUGUUAUGAGAUGAUAAAACAUGAAUGGUACUUUAUGCAUGACUUAUGUUUUUAAAUUUUUUUAAUUUUUUUUUAAAUAAGACAGAUGAUUAAAGUUGAGUAUGAAAAAGUAUGGCUACACUUAAAAUACGAUAGAGGGAGUACAAAUCUAUGAAGCUUUUUAAAUGGAUGGAUGUAUAUAGCCAUACGUAUGUACAGUUCGCUACUCAGUUGUACACUCGGUACAGUGUACUCCUAUUGUGCAGCAGGCAGAGGUAUUGGGACCAAAUUAAGACAGCUCCCCUUUUUUUUUUUACUUGCACAGAAACAGAUGCUGAAGGAAAAAAGAAAGAAAAAGGAUGAAAGCCUCUCUGCCUCACCUGCUGAUCCUCUGGGGCUCGUUUUCCGACGACAUGACGAUCACUGGGAUCGGCUUCAGAGGGCUCAGCGCCUGCAAACAUCCAAUGAAGCCAUGAGCCAAUCACACAUCAGGUUAUUACUGGAACUAAUCACUACUACUGCUAAUUAGUACUAGGGACACCAAAAUAGUAGUAGCAACAGCGCAAGUCUGAAUUUCUGCAUUAACAGUAUUUGUAUUUAUUUUACCUUGAUGGCUUUGAGAAGCUCAUAACCAGUCAUCUCAGGCAUGCAGUAGUCGGUGAGCACCAUGUCGAUGGCCUGCUCCUGCACAUGAUAUUAAAAAGAGUUUAUUUAGCCAUCCAAUCACAUCCUGGUUAGCUGUAAUUACACCCAGCCGUGUCACUACCACUCCUGUGUUGAGCUCACAGGGCACACCAAGAAUCAAACCCAUGCCAUUAACCAAUCCCAUUAACCCAAGCUUGGUGUCAUCAAGACACCAGACAGCUCUGUCAGGCUGCUGUAAGACGGCGAGUUUUUCUCUCUUUUUUAGUAGUAUUUUUUUUCUUCUUCCUCUGCAUGUCUCUCUCCCCCAUGAAAAGAGGCCACCUUUUGCUCCCAAAAGGCGGAGACGAGGAGGAACAGAAACCCUCACGCGCGCACGCGCGCCGUACGGCCGGCGUACGGCCGGCGGUGCAGCGCCGCCGGCGAGAGGAGGAAAACAAAAAUGGCGUCGCCAUUUGUUAAUGAUCUGAUCCUCGUUUCUUGCAGGCUUGCAGCAGCAGCAGGGCAUCGGCGGCGAUUAUGGACGGUAAUGGCGUUGGUUUAAGUGGUAUGAUUAGCAGAGACUUUUUUUUUUUUUUUUACCU
rnacentral:lncRNA from 1 species